rnacentral:rRNA from 1 species
UGGGGGAUAUUGCACAAUGGGGGAAACCCUGAUGCAGCGACGCCGCGUGAGUGAAGAAGUAUUUCGGUAUGUAAAGCUCUAUCAGCAGGGACGAAAAUGACGGUACCUGAGUAAGAAGCCCCGGCUAACUACGUGCCAGCAGCCGCGGUAAUACGUAGGGGGCAAGCGUUAUCCGGAUUUACUGGGUGUAAAGGGAGCGUAGACGGUUAUGCAAGUCUGGAGUGAAAGGCGGGGGCUCAACCCCCGGACUGCUCUGGAAACUGUAGAACUAGAGUGCAGGAGGGGUAAGUGGAAUUCCUAGUG